GUAAGUAGGUAGAAGGAUCCCAGGCAGACAUUCCUUGGUUUUAGAAGACAAUCCUUUUGGAAGGGAAGCACAAUGGCCUUGACACUACUUUUCCUUUCCUUUCUUACUUAUUUCUCAGGCAUCAUUUCACAGCCCACCUUGACUCAGCCUGCCUCCCAGUCUGGAUCUCCAGGAGAAACCAUUAAACUCUCCUGUGCCAUCAGCAGCAGCCCAAACUACAUUUACUGGCUUCAACAGAGAUCUGGAGAGUCUCCUCGCUUUGUCCACUGUGAUGGCUGCAGCAGGGGACCAGGGAUCCCAGACCGAUUCACAGCAACCCAGUCAGGCAACAACGGCUAUUUAACCAUCACCAACCUUCAGGCAGAAGACGAGGCUGAUUAUUUCUGUUCCAUGUGGUAUAGCAGUGGUAGUGUGCUCCACAGUGAGCCAAUCUGA